rnacentral:rRNA from 1 species
UACGAAGGGGGCUAGCGUUACUCGGAUUGACUGGGCGUAAAGGGCGCGUAGGCGGUUUGUACAGUCAGACGUGAAAUUCCUGGGCUCAACCUGGGGGCUGCGUUUGAUACGUGCAGACUUGAGUUCGGAAGAGGGUCGUGGAAUUCCCAGUGUAGAGGUGAAAUUCGUAGAUAUUGGGAAGAACACCGGUGGCGAAGGCGGCGACCUGGUCCGUGACUGACGCUGAGGCGCGAAAGCGUGGGGAGCAAACAGG